rnacentral:lncRNA from 1 species
AUGAAAGGAGAUAAUUAGACCUGGUAAUUGGCUUGCUUUUUACUUUUUUAUAGGCAACAGUGACUAUGGCUGGGAGAAGAAGACACAGCAGAAAGCUGUCCUCCAGGAUCAAGGCUAAGCUGUCUCAAUUUUAGGGGAAAAGGCUGGUCCCCGACCAGUCCAGGACUUCCUGUCACCGCUUGCCUGACACAUCCGUCUGGCUGUGAAGUGCUUCUCUGCAUCCUAUGCUAUGGUACCCGGGUCCAUAUGAACCCCAGGACCAGACAUCUUAGAACUUUGAAUCCAAAGCUUCGGCUGCUUUCCACUGAACUGAGUGUGCCUACGGUGAGACUCCAACCCUAAGGGGUUUGAUGCCUGGUCCGAGAAUCUCAUAAAGCCUGAGUAUCCCCAGGUCAGCAUGACUACAGAUACCAACCGAAAGACUGCUGGUAAUACCACUGCUUGAGGAACGACUAACCCGUGGAAGGGUCAUGGGGGUGGUACUGCAAUGAAAAGUGCAAGUGACACUUUGAUCUCAGGCAUGGUCCCAGUCUGAACAUGCCUCGUGCUCUCCCUACCCUCGCACCCAGUGCCCAGGCUUAAAGAGGGCACUGUUUGUGAGGUUUGUGACUUUUAGUCUCUAAAGAUACAUGUCUUUUUUUUUUUUUACAAAAAUUUUUUUAUUAUUGAUUUAUAACUGACCCACAGUGUUAUAUCAGUUUCAGGCAUAUAACAUAGUGAUGCAAUAUUUUUAUACAUUAUGAAAGGAUCACCAAGAUAAGUCUAGUUAUUACAGUCUUAUUGAAUACACAUUUCUCAUCCUAACUCCAGUUUUUUCUUAUUUGCUGAAUGACUUUCCAUCUAUUUUAUUUUAUUUUGAAGUAUAAUUGAUUUAUAAUGGUGUAUUAGUUUCAGGUGUACAGCUAAGUGAUUCUGUUUUUUAUACAUAGUAUAAAUAUAUAUAAUAUUCUUUUUCAGAUGCUUUUCCAUUAUAGGCUAUUACAAGAUAUUGCACAUAGUUCCCUGUGCUUUACAGUAGUUCCUUGUUGUUAUCCUAACAGGAGUUUUGAAACUAGCUCACAAUGGGAGAAGUAAUUCAUAAGCCAUUUAUUGCUGAUACCUGUGGCUCAGCAGGUAAAGAAUCCGCCUGCAAUGUGGGAGACCUGGGUU